GGAUCGGAAUUAUUUAUUGAAAGUCGCCACUUGUGAUAAGUUUGACUUUUGGUGUCCCAAGUCACCAGUUUAUCUUGAAUCACGAACCGAGAAAUACUUUGACUUUCGAAUGGAGUCCGCGAACCAGAAAUUCUGAAUAAGGAAUUCUAUUGACCCGAAGUAAGGUGUUAGGCACCCUCGGAUCCCGUGGUUCUAGCACAGUCGCUUAAAUUGCUAUGAAUGGCUAAACUCU
rnacentral:lncRNA from 1 species